GAUGAACGCUGGCGGCGUGCCUAACACAUGCAAGUCGAACGAAGCGCCUUUUAAGAUUCUUCAGAUGAUUGAUCGGUGACUGAGUGGCGGAUGGGUGAGUAACGCGUGGGUAACCUGCCCUGUACAGGGGGAUAACAGUUGGAAACAGCUGCUAAUACCGCAUAAGCGCACGAGAGGACAUCCUCUUGUGUGAAAAACUCCGGUGGUACAGGAUGGGCCCGCGUCUGAUUAGCUGGUUGGCAGGGUAACGGCCUACCAAGGCGACGAUCAGUAGCCGGUCUGAGAGGAUGAACGGCCACAUUGGAACUGAGACACGGUCCAAACUCCUACGGGAGGCAGCAGUGGGGAAUAUUGCACAAUGGGGGAAACCCCGAUGCAGCAACGCCGCGUGAGUGAAGAAGUAUUUCGGUAUGUAAAGCUCUAUCAGCAGGGAAGAUAAUGACGGUACCUGACUAAGAAGCUCCGGCUAAAUACGUGCCAGCAGCCGCCGUAA
rnacentral:rRNA from 1 species